rnacentral:rRNA from 1 species
AACGAACGCUGGCGGCAGGCCUAAAACAUGCAAGUCGAACGGGUGUAGCAAUACAUCAGUGGCGCACGGGUGAGUAACGCGUGGGAACGUGCCCUUCAGUACGGGACAACGUCGGGAAACUGACGCUAAUACCGUAUAAUAUCUCCGGAUCAAAGAUUUAUCGCUGAGGGAGCGGCCCGCGUCUGAUUAGCUAGUUGGUGAGGUAAUGGCUCACCAAGGCUACGAUCAGUAGCAGGUCGGAGAGGAUGAUCUGCCAAACUGGGACUGAGACACGGCCCAGACUCCUCCGGGAGGCAGCAGUUAGGAAUAUUGGACAAUGGGGGAAACCCUGAUCCAGCCAUGCCGCGUGUGUGAUGAAGGCCCUAGGGUUGUAAAGCACUUUCGUUGGGGAUGAUAAUGACCGUACCCAAAGAAGAAGCCACGGCUAAAUUCGUGCCAGCCGCCGCAGUAA